rnacentral:lncRNA from 1 species
AAAAGUCAAAUAUAGUAGGAAAAGACCACCUCAUGCUAAACACUUGGCUGCACCCCACAUUUUCUUAAUCCUUAAGGAAGAGUCACGUUCCAGCAUCUUGAAGACUUUAUAUACACCUCCUAACAACAUUUUUAGUCUUACAAAUUAUCCCCAAUUGACCACCGAUUGAAAGAGAAAGCAAAAAGGAAAAGAGGGAAGCAGAAACAAGGGGCUGAAAUUGAAUUUCUGGAUAGAUGAGUUUAGCUCACGGUUUUGAAGUUUUUCUUUAGUUCUUUUGCUU